rnacentral:rRNA from 1 species
UGGGGAAUAUUGGACAAUGGGCGCAAGCCUGAUCCAGCCAUGCCGCGUGAGUAAUGAAGGCCCUAGGGUUGUAAAGCUCUUUCACCGGUGAAGAUAAUGACGGAAACCGGUGAAGAAGCCCCGGCUAACCUCGUUUCAGCAGCCGCGGUAAUACGAAGGGUGCUAGCGUUGUUCGGUUUUAUUGCGCGUAAAGCGCACGUAGGCGGACUUUUAAGUCAGGGGUGAAAUCCCAGGUCCCAACCCCUGAACUGACGUUGAUACUGGAAGUCUUGAGUAUGGUGGAGGUGAGUGUAAUUCCGGGGGUAGAGGUGAAAUUAGUACAUAUUCGGAGGAAAACCAGUGGCGAAGGCGGUUCACUGGACCAUUACUAACGCUGAGGUGCGAAAGCGUGGGGAGCAAACAGG